CAGGUCCUUGUGCUCCCAGAUCUUUCACCAGUCCUUUUCCUUCACAUCAGUGUGCCUGCCUCUCAGAUGCCACCUCACCACCAGAUCUUGCCAUCAAGGAGACUUCAUGUGGAAAGAUAACAUGUGAAUCAGCAGGGAAAACCAUUGCCCUUAUAGGUAGGUGCUUCUUAGCAAUAUGCUUGUGGGAAUAGCUGGUUUUUUGCAUGUGUGAAUGUGUCUAUCCAUUUCGGUUGGGAUCUCUAGCCACCAGGUAUGUCAGCUCUUUUGUUAUCCGCAUGCUUACUUACCCCGGGAUGUAAGAGAAGGGAACACAUGAACACAUGAAGCUGCCUUACAGCCUGAAUAAGAUCAUCCAAGUCAGUGUGGUCCACUCAGAUUGGCAGUGGCUCUCCAGGGUCUCAGACAGAUGUCCUUCACAUUACCUGUGGUCUGGUCCUUUUAACUACAGAUGCCAUGGAAUGGACCUGGGACCUUCUGCAUGCCAAGCAGAUGCUCUUUCACUGAGGAGAGUCAUCAUUAUGGGGGUUACUGACUUUCAGAUCAUAAUAGUAGAGAGUCCAGUAGCACCUUUAAGACUAACCAACUUAUUUGUAGCAUAAGCUUUUGAGAACCACAGCUCUCUUCAUCAUGCAUCUGAGCUGUGGUUCUCAAAAGCUUAUGCUACAAAUUGGUUAGUCUUAAAGGACUCUCUACUAUUUUGCAACUAAAGACUAACAUGGCUAACUCCUCUGGAUUUCAGAUCAUAGUAACCUCUGGUGCCUUGACCAUGAUAUGAACCAGAGAAUGAAGUCAAGAGAUGCCCUUCUCUUUCCUUGUUCUGAUUGCUUGUUUAGGAAAUGAUUAAAGGAAUCCUCACAGAUUUCAGAACAAAAUAGUGAGCCAGCCGUCUGGAAGAUCAGGUUCAAAGGGACCCUCAGUGGAAACGUGCUAGUUGAUGAAGGCAACUGAAACAAAUAUUACAGGAAACUCUUACAUCACAUUUGUUCUUGACCACUUUAAAUACUGGUGCUGGUCCCCAUUCCUAAGAAAAGGCUAGGGGAACUGUUUUAGCUUGCUCUGCCAUGACCACUUGUUCUGCAUGAUACUGCUUACUGAAUUCCAAAUUAGUGAUGUGAUAAUUUCCAUGAGUACUUGGCAUGAGUACUGAUGGUUUCAAGCAUUAAUCUACAUUUCCUAUGGUGAAGGAGUUUUAAAAACUGUCCCAUUGUGAUUUUUUCUUCUCCACCACUCUCUCAGAUCUUGGACAUUUCUUAUACCAUAAAUCAUCAUUAGUUUUCUAAAAGAAGUUGUGGUAACUGAAAGAGAAUCAUAGACAUCCAGCUAGCUAGAUAUUAUUUCAGAUGGUUUGGAAUCAGAACUCAGUCACUGGAAGAUAUCAAAAGCCCCAUGAGCAAAAUGCAAAUAUUGAAAAUCCCAUGCAGAUUUCAGAAAAUCUAAAAAGAUUGUAUGAAAUCAACAUGGAAUUCCCCCCCCGCCCCCCAGUCAGAAUGAAGAGGCAGACACAAGUGUGGGGAAUUAAAACACUGCUUUAUUAAAUAAUAACAACAUAUCUGUCAACACGGCAAGGGCCUAAUUAGUGGUACAGGUCAGACCCUGGGGUCAUUCCUGGUCCUCUGCCCUGACCUGUAUGGUCGAGACUCCCGCUGCCCUAGGUGCGAGAUAUCCAUGGUACGGCUGGGACCUCACCGGCCUGAUGAAGUGCUUCACCCCCUUAAAGCUCCCCACCCGGCCGUAAAGCUGCAGGGGGGGGGACUGGUUUGUCCAGGGGUUCCCCACGAGGGCAUCUGACCUCGCAAUUGGCCCAUACAGCAGCCAGCCGCUCCUGACAGACCCCAAUUCCCCACCAAUGGGGAUAUGCCAAGAGUGUGAACUAAUACAUCAUGUGAAAACAGAACUCUGCCCAUGGUGGUAGAGUUCUAGAUAGUCUAGAACAGGCUUCAGUGAGUUGCAGAAGUAUAUGUGAACUGCUUUAAUUGAACAACAUGGUGUUUGAGAUGAUGUGGAGUGAUAUGACCAUUCAAUCAGAGCAGUAUUAGAUCUGUCCUUCAGACUGGUUUUGUCAAGGUUAACAUAUGGCCCAGUUGUCUUGACCUUGUCUGAUUAUGAUGUGUUAACCGUAUCAUAAAUUAGUAUCAAGAUAAGAUGUAGUUUGGAUUCUUGAAGCAGUGGAUUUUUAAGUGUUGGACAUGUUUCUUUUGAACCAGUAUCAUCUUGCCCGAAACAGGAUGAAUAGAUUGUCUCCUUAAAAUGUUCUCUGCUAUAAUUAAUUUGUUGAUUACUGGAGCCUGAAGUAAAACAAAAGAAAUAAACUCAGUAAAUAAAAGAUGAAAAAUUGUUUUCAAAAACAACAAAUUAGUAGAACCCCACUGAAAAGAAAGCACUACAGGAGGUUGGUGGAAGCUGUAAUGGCUUGACUGGCUUAAAUCCAAGUACUUCAGUUUAAGUAGACCGUGGAGAAGGUUGUCUGUGCUAAACUUCCUGCUCUUUUUGAAGUGGAGCACUUCUAAUUGGUUGUCUUUGAAUUUGUUUAUUACUAAUUAUUUAAUCACACUCCCCAAACUCCCUUUCUCUAUUUAAAACAUUCAGAUUUUAACCUCACAACUCACAAGUUAUGCCCCCAAAUUAGGCAUGCUUAAGUCUAUUGCUUUUAGUGGGUUUCAGCAUGGUCUUAACUCAAUGGCUUCAAAUAGCUUCAAAACAAUUUUCUAUUUUUUUUAAAAAAGGAUCAAAGGAUUUGUAUCUGCCUCUAGAAUCUAUGGGUUCUCAUUCUACUUGUUUAAGUGGAAUGCCCACCAAUUCUACAUUCCAUUUCAGAAUCCCUGAAAUCUCCACACCGUUUGUUAGGAUGUCAAUACUUUAGCCGGAGUAACGCCAUGUUAACUUGUGUUAUAAUCAGUAGUUGUCUAGUUUUCCUCCCUCUAGGCCCAGGUGUCGUCCAGGCCGCUCAUAUCCAUGGGAGCGAAGAGUCUUAUCUAUCCAGUCCAGCCAACGACCUUGAUGUCCUCGUCUUCUCAUGCCUUUGCAGACAGGACUAGGGGGGAGGCUGGGAAUGGGUGUUUGAAGUGUUGUAACUUUCGUUUUACAUGCCAUUCUCAACAAAGCUUUCGUUCAGCCAAGGGCCUCAAAGGCCUUUGGAUUAUGGACACCUGUAUCAUGAGCCUAGUCUUUCAAUAAACCUUUUGGAAUCAAGAAA